ensembl:lncRNA
CUAAAAUGGCUGGGGUGUUGCAAGGCUGAGGCUCAGCCACGUAAUGGAAACUCAGGCCGUCAGAAACGCCAUUGUAACCCCCCUUCAAAAAGCACUAACGAGUACCUACCGGGCUCCAGAAAGCCUUAAAAGGUACUCAAGAAUUAUCAAGCAAGUCCCAAGUAAUGGCUCUGAGUUUUUGUGAACUGUUGGAGGGUCUACUUCUAUGUGAUUUUCACCUAAAUUUUGAGCUCAAAUCUACUUGCUAAUAAGUCUUAAAUAUUUCUGGAUACAUAGUUUACAGACAAGUUGCAUAAGCUUUUAGAAAAAUCUAGAAAGGCUUCUAAACGAAAUUCUAUUUUUAACACUUCCGAGGGACUAUUUUUGCUUCCCUCACAAAGACGGCGGAGGGUUAUUAAAUUCAGCGGGGUGAGUUGUCCUUGGUCUAUAAAUACGCGGCUCCGGACGCAGCGGCAGGCAUUCAGGCAGCGAGCGCAGAGGUGGCUGGAGAGGGAGGAGGAGCUGCUUAAGGAAACCGCAGAUAAGUUGCUUUGUUAGAAAUGAUAGAAGUUAGUACAAUUCUUUAGGAGAUGUAAAUAGCGAGAAUAUUUAAGUUAAUGCUUAGCAUUAAGUUUUUAAAGUAGUUUCGAUAAUAAGAUCUUGCCGAAGGGAAAAUAAUGAAGACUGACUUGAAAAGUAGUUUGAGAAAGGAGGAGAGAAGAAAAAAGAUAUUUCUAGAAUAUGAGGGAGGUUAAGAGAUGAAGCUUAGUAAUGGAGUGAGAUAAUUUUAAAUAGCUGAAAGGACUGCGAAGUCCGAAAUCAAAACGGCAUUAAAUUGAAGAGCAGCGUUUUAGAUUAACUUUAAAACGCAGAUGACGUAAAUAGAACCUAAACGUUUUAGAAAAUGAGGUUUUAGAUGACGAAAAUAUUUUAAACGCCGUCUCUUAAAAAGAUUAAAGGUGAUUUAAGAGCGAGACCUUCAUAUUCGUGGCGCAGGAAAGGUGAUUUGAAGCCUAGUUGGUCUUAUGGCAUUAUUUGCUAAAAAUUGAUGGAAAUAGUAAUUGGGAGUGGCAGGAUAAAAAUUUGGAGAAAGAAGAUUAGAAAUUAGAAGUGGAAAACACAGAAGACAGAAGUACAGGAAGGUGAAGAAAAGACUUAGAAGAUAGGAAAAAUAGAAGAUAAGACGCCUCUAGAAGACAGAAAAACUAAUUUCAAAGCCAAAAGGUAGGAAGCAGAAGAAAAAGUACUUAGACAAAUUAGGAAACCAAAGCAACUAAAGGCCCAGAUAGAAAUUAAGUAGGAAACCAGAAGAGAGAAAAAACAAGGUUGAAAAUACAGUCAAGGAGAAGUGUUUCAGAUAGAAAAUGAAAAGCUAGGACAAACUAUUGGAUACGAGCAUACAAGAUAGACAUGAAAAAAUUAGAAAAAUUUAAAGCUAAAAAAUUGGAUAAAGUACAAGAGCAGAAAAACAGAGGAAAUUAGCUUUUUAUAGUGAUAGGAAUUUUUUAAAAGCCUAUCAAUUUAAUCUCCGGUGAUGCGGAAGUUAGAAUUGAGAAGAUGAGGGUUAAACUACUGUAGACCAGGACCAAUUUAGAAGAAUUUCCGGAAGCUAGAAGAGAAAUCAGUUAAAAAUCUCAGCCAAAAGCUACUAAGAGGACUGAAGUAAUUUAAUAAAAAUUAAGAAUGGUUGUGGAAGAGUUAAAAAUUUGAAAUGCCUUAAAUAUAGUAGCUUAGUUUUCUUUGGAAAAUUUAAAGGACUUUGAUAACAAUUCAAGAUCAAGAAUACUCAGCAGUUUAACCAUUUGGCGCUGGACUUUGAGCUCAGAUGAUUUAAAUGCCGAGGACUAGCGUUAAUUGACAGCUGACGCAGGUGCUACGCAGAAGUGGAUUCAGUGAUCUAGGAAGACAGGAGCGGCAGACAGGAUCCCGGGAGCCAGUGUGCUGAAGCUAGGACGGAGGCCGAGCGGCCGUUCGCGGUGAAGAUAGGAAGGAGCCCGGGAGCCAGUGCUUGUGGUGAAGGCAGCUAGGAAGAAGGAAGGAGCGCUAACGCGUGGAGGCGCAGCUAGGCCAGAGUCCGGGAAGCAGGAGCCUGUGCUGUGUGAUGAAGCUAGCGGGCGGCUUGGCUUGGCGACCCCGCGGCGGCGGCGAGCAGGCGGAGUGGAGGCUAGCUAGAGCAUCCUAGAGCAGCGCCCGGUGUGCGAGGCCGCGGGGAGAGCGAGUGGCGUGGUAAAGAUCCGCGAGGUCGGCAGUACCGUGCUGGGUUGUUUUUGGUAACUUGAGCGUGGUAACCUUUCCUUAUUUUCCUAACGGUAACGGGGGAGUUGCGUACUUAAGCGUCAAGGGAUUUACUACGGGGAUGUAGGCCGAUUUCCGGGUGUCGUAGGUUUUUCUUUUUCAGGCUUGUUUUCUCAUCUUGUCUGAAGCUUUUGAGGGCAGACUUCCAAGCCCGGAGGAAUGGUAGAUGGCAAGUUUUUUUUUUUAAAAAACCGAUCUGAGGGAAACCAAAUGAAUUUGAUAGAACAACUUUGAGACAAAUGUUGGCAAGUUUUAUACGCAGUUUCUAUUUUUAGCUUGGAGUAAUGAAGCAUUUCAGUUCUGUGAAUAGAUGACCUAUUUUUCUGUCCUCACCCUGUAUUAAAGUUUUCUAAAGGUGGAGUUGGGGUGUGUAACUUUGGGGGGAGUUUUUGUGGGGUUGGGGGGCAAAAUAUGUUUUGAGUUCUUUUCCCCUUAGGUCGGUCUGUCUAGAAUCCAAAAGGCAGAUGACUCAAGUUAACAGAAAAAAGGAAAAUCCAGUAUCAGGAUAAUCAGAACACCACAGGUUUACAGUUUCUAGAAACUAGAACACGAGCAGCUCUCACUUUGAGGUGUGUGGCGGAAUUAUCCAUUGGAGAAAUGGCUGGUAGUUAUUCUUUUUUCCACCCCUUAAUCAGAUCUUCAAAGUAUGUAACCCCUUAAACAUUAUUUUUACUUGGAGUAUUUUGGAGUGGUCUUACCAGGGAAGAGGGUGGGGGAGGAAAUGUGUUUUUUCUAAGAUUUCCACAGAUGCUAUAGUGCUAUUGACAAACUGGGUUAGAGAAGGAUUGUACUGCUAUGCUGUUGGCACGAACGCCUUCAGGGAUUGGAGCUGCUUUUUCCCUUGGAAGAGUAUUCCCAGUUGAAGCUGAAAUUACAGCACAGUGCAGCUUUGGUUCAUAUUCAGUCAUCUCAGGAGAACUUCAGAAGAGCUUGACUAGGUCAGAUGUUGAAGUUAAGUUUUCAAAUAAUGUGACUUUUAAAAUACCUUUCUUAAAAGGGGGUGGGCAAAUUUUUGGCAAUUAGUAGUUGGCAGUGGCCUGUUAUGGUUGGGAUUGGGAGGGUUGGGUUUAGGUAAUUGUUUAGUUUAUGAUUUCAGAUAACUCAUGCAGAGAACUUAAAUACUUAGGAUGGAAAAACUAAGGAAAUCUCAACUUCCAAGUUGGCAAGUAACUUCCCGUCCUCUAGGUUUUGUUUUCCCCCAAUUUUUGAAUUGGGCAACUGAGGAAGUUCAUAAAGUUCCUCUGGAUUCAAUGUGUAGGGCCUGGGGAAGGAAAAUGUUAGACUGGGGGUUGGUCUAGCCCUCGGGGCUGACUUAGAUAAAAUCUUGGGAGUAUUUUAAAAUGCCAAAGUUGUUCAGCUAUGGGAGUGUGUGGUUCUCUUUUGGAAUUUUUUUCAGGUGAUUUAAUAUUACUUAAUACUGCUAUAGGAGCUUCAGAGCAAAGGAAGUGGCUUAAUGAUCCUGAAGGGAUUUCUUCUGAUGGUAGCUUUUAUAUUAUCAAGUAAGAUUCUAUUUUCAGUUGUGUAUAAACAAGGUUUUUUUAGUGUAGGAAAGAUUUUUCCUUCCUAUGAAUGCAAAAGGAGAUGUUAAGGUAUGCUUCAAAAUUAUUGUGAAUUGUGUAUUUUACAUUUGUAUCUUACCUAUUUGUAAAUCAUAACUGAUAAAAGAGGGCGGGCUUUUGUUGAUGAGGGAGGGGAAACCUUUUUUUUUUCUGUAGACUUUUUUCAGAUAACGUCUUCUGAGUCAUAACCAGCCUGGCAAUAUGAUGGCCUAGAUGGAGAGGGAACAGCUCCUUGGUGAAUGAUAAGUAAAGGCAGAAAAGAUUAUAUUUCAUAUCUCCAUUGGGGGAAAAGCGUAACCCUGAGAUCCUUACUACUGAUGAACACAUUGUCUGCAUAUGUCAAAAAAAAAUUGAGCCAAUGAAAACUACCAAUUUAAAGUUAAUGGAAUCUACCAAUUUAAAGUUAAUGGAAUCUACCAUUUUAAAGUUAAUGGAAUCUACCAAUUUAAAGUUAAUGGAAUCCACCAUUUUAAAGUUAAUGGAAUCUACUAUUUUAAAGUUAAUGCUUUAUCAAGCUUAUACCUACAAAAGUAACGAAUUGAUGAGAAAUACAAUGAAGAUCAAAUGUCCAUCUCCAAUUACUGCUUUUACAAAAGCAGAAUAAAAAAGCGAAAUGAAAUGAAAAUGAUACUACAUUAAUCCUGGAAUAAAAGAAGCUCAAGUAAUUCAGAGAUGAGUGGGAUCAAGUGGAUUGAGAGGAAGCUGUGCUGUUGCCAAUCUUUCGUUUACCUCAGACAGGUUUCUCUUCAUUAUCAGAAGAGUUGCUUCAUUCCAUCUGGGAGCAGAAAACAGCAGGCAACUGUUAACAGAUAAGUUUAACUUGCAUCUGCAGUAUUGCAUGUUAGGGAUAAGUGCUUAUUUUUAUUAAGAAGUUCUUAAAUAUUGAACUUGGCCAUUUUUCCUGAUCCCUUCCCUAGGGGAUUCCAGGAUUAUGAGGAAUUUUCCCGUCUAGCCUUUUUAAAAUUAGACACAACUCGUGCCUGUGGGCUUCCAUGAUGGGCUAGCACACCUCACUCAGAGAAACUUUGUCUUCGAACACUCUUUAAUGGACAAGAAAGAUCAGGAAUUGAGCGGAAGAACGAACUUAACUUUCUUAAGGCAGGAAAGACAAAUUUUAUCCUUCGUAAAGUGAUGAGCAUUUUAAUAAUUCCAGGCAUAUGGCAAUAGAGGCCCUCUAAAUAAGGAAUAAAUACUACUUAGACAGGUGGGAGAUUAUGAUCAGAAUAACAGGUAACUACACCUACCCUGUUCUGGACAGGAGUCUAAAUUGAGCCUUGUUACACGAGAGUAAUGAUUCUGUCACGUUUCCAAAGUUUGCAUGUUAACUUUAAAUGCUUAUAAACCAUCUCAUCUAGUGUUAGCCAGUGUUUGUACUAUUAGGCACUUGGGGGUCUUGUGGGUUUUUAAAGAAUUUUCCUUUGCAGAAGCUUCAUUUCAUCCUUCAUGAAGCUGUUCAGAAUAUUGACUUGCAUAUAAGCGCUUGGCUCUGCCUUCUAUUCUCCUAACUACACAGAGAACGCAGUUGUCUUGACCUCAGGUCUGUCUGUUCUGUUGGCAAGUAAUAACGCAGUACUGUUCUGAUCUGCUGCUAUUAGAAUGCAUUGUGAAACGACUGGAGUAUGAUUAAAAGUUGUGUUUUCCCCCACUGCUUGGAGUAGUGAUUGUUGAAGGAAAAUCCAGCUGAGUGAUAAAGGCUGAGUGUUGAGGAAAUUUCUGCAGCUUUAAGCAUUCAUGUUUGUGAUUGAAGCCAAGUACCUUUUGCUGUGCUUAGGUAAAAUGCUUUUUUGUUCACUUCUGGUAGGGGGGUGGGGAGGGCACUGAAGCCUUUAGUCUUUUCCAGAUGCAACCUUAAAAUCAGAGUCAAGAAAUAAAUUCCAAACAAGCCACAGUCUUCAGGAAAUUUAACUGGCAAGUGGAAAUGUUGAAGAGUUCAGUGGUCUUAGUGUAUUGUCUUUGUGGGUUUCUCUCUCCCCUCCCUUCGUGUUAAUUCUUACACACAGGAACAUUCAAAACAGCAGACGUACACGAAGGGCCAGAGAAGCCAGACCCAGUAAGGAAAAAUAGCUUAUUUACUUUAAACAAAGAUUCCAUUUUAAAUGUGGGGAUUGGGAACCACUAGUUCUUUCAGAUGGUAUUCUUCAGACUAUAAAAGGAGCUUCCAGUUGAAUUCACCAGUGGACAAAAUGAGGACAACAGGUGAACAAGCUUUUUCUAUGUUUACAUAUUAAGCCAGAUCCGUUGGGUAAAUCCUUUAGUGUUACAGACUUGCAGCUUUAUGCUGGAGUAGAUAGCAUGUGAGCAGGUUGGUUGUUGGCCUGGGGGUGGAGGGGUGAGGUGGGCGCUAAGCCUUUUUUUAAGAUUUUUCAGGUACCCCUCACUAAAGGCACCGAAGGCUUAAAGUAGGACAACCACGCAGCCUUCCUGUGGCAAGAGAGACAACAAAGCGCUAUUACACUAAGGUCACUGCAAAUGGCGUCGGCCUCAUAACGCGCCCCGUCUUCUCGUAGACCUCUGAGGACUUGCCUCAGCGCCCUUGGCAGACAUGCACUGAGGCUCUUUGGGCCUGAAGCAUCCAGAGGAAUGCUUGAGUACCUUGUAUACCCCUGGGCUUGUCCUAACCCAUAAGCUGUUUUUAUAGCAGCUGUUACUAAAGCCCAAACUUCAAGUGAUGCUUGAAGGGGAGGGAAAGGGGGAAAGCGGGCAACCACUUUUCCCUAGCUUUUCCAGAAGCCUGUUAAAAGCAAGGUCUCCCCACAAGUGACUUCUCUGCCACAUCGCCACCCCCUGCCUUUGGCCUAGCGCAGACCCUUCACCCCUCACCUCGAUGCUGCCGGUAGCUUGGAUCCUUGUGGGCAUGAUCCAUUGUCAGUUUCAAGGUAACAGUGGUGCGAGGUCUUCCGGUGGGUUGCACUACUAGAAAAGGCCAUUAACGUGCUUGCAAAUGGUUAAGGUUAUUAAAACCACAACUAAAACCUCUGAUGUUUUAAGUGUACAAAUUUAAACCAGUGAAUGGAGAGCAAUGUUUAAGAACUGUAAUGUUGGGUGGGAAGAUAGAACGUAAAAACUGAAGGAGAUAGGCAUUUUAUUUCAGUGGUUGAGAGGGCGUUGGGUGGGAUUGCAAAAACUCUCUGCUAAGACUUUUUCAGGUGAACAUAACAGACUUGGCCAAGCUAGCAGCUUAGCUGAAGCAGAUUCUCCAGCAGUGCCCUUCCAUAGGGUUGUAAAAGGUUUUUCUUUUCCUGAGAAAACAAAAUCUUUUGUUUUCUCAGGUUUUGCUUUUUGGCCUUUUCCUAGCUUAAAAAAAAAAAGCAAAAGAUGCUGGUGGUUGGCACUCCUGGUUUCCAGGACGGGGUUCGAAUCCCUGCGGCGUCUGUGCUUGACUGUACCCUCUGCCUUCAGGACUCUCCUUUCCGUUUCCCUCCUCCUGUUCAGGAGGCGGCUCUGGAGUCGGGGGAGGGGCAAGCUGCCAGUGGAGGAGUGUCAGCUCGGCUGAAUUGUCAGAGCCUGGAGUCCGUUUGCAUUCACAUGGAAACCGGAAAACCUCAUAUAACUGCCCUGUCUUUCGUUUUCAGGUGUUUCUUGUGCAUCUGGCAUUUAGAGAAGCCUCACUCCUAAAACCUUAAGAUUUCGUAUUAAUAAAAAUUGAAAAGCUC